rnacentral:lncRNA from 1 species
CCUACUUUUUCUCCGCCACCUGGGCCGUGAUUGGGCGCGACCUGGGCUCCUGGGUGCUCAUUGGCGCCGUGAAGUGCUCGUCACCGCCCCCUCCUGCCCCUUCAUGCAUGCGCGGAGGCCGCCUGCUAGCAAGGUGCUGAACCUGAGAGCAGCCCCAGUACACUCCCUGCAUGGGAAUCUCCAUCUCAAAGUCAGCCUCCAGGGAGCCCGCCCUGAAACAGAUUCUGUCAUGGAACUCAACAGAGUAUCCUGGUGCGGAUAACCAGUGUUGGGAGUUAGAGCACGGACUCUCUCCACCUGCACGGUGCUGGAGCUCUGCACACCCCCUCUGCAGCCAUCCCUCGCCGCUGUCCCUUAGCUGACGCCCUUGCCCUCUGUGUGUCCUUCCUCAUGGCCUGCAGGUUUCAGAUCCCAAGCUACAGAUCAUGUCUUCUAGUCUGGGCUCUGGCAGAGAGUUCGGAAGCACUCUUAUUAUCUUAGCAGCAGCAUGUGUGGAAAUCAUUUCUCAUUACAGCGGAGGGCAGGCAUUGUGCAGAGGGUUAAGUGGGCCUGCUUGAAGUUGGUUGUUGUUAGCUCUCAUGUCUAUGCCUUGGUCCCUUUCCCCUCAGGACUUGGAGAGCAAGCUGUUUGAGUCUGAUGCAACCCCUGGGCUUUGACUAUCAUGCCAAAAGGCAGCAAAUAAGUGCCUUUUCUUCCCUUCAGAAUACAUGGACAAUCCAAAGCUCUAUUAGUCUAUUAUUCAGAAUGAAAAGUGUUUACAAUAUUCGUCCUCUUACUCCUCAGUAUGUGAGACUGUUCCUCGUAGCAGGUAAUUUCUUCCGAAUUCAAAAACUCCUCAUGGAAGCAUCUGUUUUUGUCAUCAAGGAGGGGGCUGUAUGUGGAAUUGCAAGGCCAAAGACAUCUCGGGUCAACUCUUCUCAGGACCAGAUCCAAGUCGCCAGUGAGAACACACAUUCAGGCAGCCUCCACCAGCGCCCUGCCUCAGGAGCGAGGCUCCCUGCUUCAUGUGGGCAAGAGCUGCCCUUGUUUUCCCAGCGGGCAGUUGGGGGUCUGGAGCCUAGGAAGCAAAGUGAAGCACACACUCCUGCUUCCUUCCUUCCCUGCAGUUGAGACGGGAGUCUUACUUUGUUGCCCAGGCUGGUCUCAAACUCCUGGCUUCAAGCAAUCCUUCCACUUUGGCCUUCCAAAGUGCUGGGAUUACAGGCAUGAGCCACCAUGCCCAGCCUCCUUCUCUUACUAGCUGAGAACUAAGAGAAGACACUCUGGAGACAGAGGAGGAAACAGUGACGAUGCCACAUGAUGAAUACAUAAUGGAGGGUGAAGACAAGGCUCCGUCAGGGGCACCAAGGAGGGAAACCCAGUUCUGUGGGGAAGGUAUGGGGCAGCUUCACAAGCCCAGUGUCUGCUCCCUUUGUGGGAGACGUGUUGUUUCAGCAUCCAUUCCCCCUUCUUUUAGGAAAAGUGCUUGAAUUUCCUUUUCAUGGAACCACCCACCUCCCUCUCAUCCAUGCAUUCUAUUCCCAGUAUCAGGGGUAGACAAGUGACUUCAGGCUUGGCCAAUUAGGGUUCUGACUCUUGGUCAAAUCAGAGUGAAUCCUGAGUCAUUUGUAAACUCCAAGGAAAGGGCUUGCUUUGUUUUCUGUUGAAUGCAGUGCUCUGAGAUAGCCGGAAAUGAAACUGCUCUCUUGCCACACUGAAGGCUAGAGAAGGGCCUGGCCAGGAAAUGAUGCCAGUGAUCAGGGGUGGAGCUGGAAGAGGGGGAGUGAGGAGGCCCAGACAUCUUGGGAGCCCCAAAUUCACCUCAGGAUUUAACUUCUCCGCUGCUCAGCCAAUAAAUUCCUUUCUUCCAUGACUA